rnacentral:rRNA from 1 species
AUUGAACGCUGGCGGCAUGCCUUACACAUGCAAGUCGAACGGUAACAGGUCUUCGGAUGCUGACGAGUGGCGAACGGGUGAGUAAUACAUCGGAACGUGCCUAGUAGUGGGGGAUAACUACUCGAAAGAGUGGCUAAUACCGCAUGAGAUCUACGGAUGAAAGCAGGGGAUCGCAAGACCUUGUGCUACUAGAACGAACGAUGGCAGAUUAGGUAGUUGGUGGGAUAAAAGCUUACCAAGCCGACGAUCUGUAGCUGGUCUGAGGGGACGAUCAGCCACACUGGGACUGAGACACGGCCCAGACUCCUACGGGAGGCAGCAGUGGGGAAUUUUGGACAAUGGGCGCAAGCCUGAUCCAGCAAUGCCGCGUGCAGGAAGAAGGCCUUCGGGUUGUAAACUGCUUUUGUACGGAACGAAACGGCGAGCUCUAAUACAGUUUGCUAAUGACGGUACCGUAAGAAUAAGCACCGGUUAACUACGUGCCAGCCGCCGCGGUAAAAC